GAUGAACGCUAGCGGCAGGCUUAAUACAUGCAAGUCGAGGGACAGCACAGGUAGCAAUACUGGGUGGUAACCGGCAAACGGGUGCGGAACACGUACACAACCUUCCUUUAAGUGGGGGAUAGCCCAGAGAAAUUUGGAUUAAUACCCCGUAAUAUAGUUGAAUGGCAUCAUUUGAUUAUUAUAGCUACGGCGCUUAAUGAUGGGUGUGCGGCUGAUUAGAUAGUUGGCGGGGUAACGGCCCACCAAGUCUACGAUCAGUAGCUGAUGUGAGAGCAUGAUCAGCCACACGGGCACUGAGACACGGGCCCGACUCCUACGGGAGGCAGCAGUAAGGAAUAUUGGUCAAUGAACGCAAGUCUGAACCAGCCAUGCCGCGUGAAGGAUUAAGGUCCUCUGGAUUGUAAACUUCUUUUAUUUGGGACGAAAAAGGGCCUUUCCAGGUCAACUGACGGUACCAGAUGAAUAAGCACCGGCUAACUCCGUGCCAGCCGCCGCCGUAAUAC
rnacentral:rRNA from 1 species